GCUGGCGUAGCUCAAUUGGUAGAGCAGCUGAUUUGUAAUCAGCAGGUUAGGGGUUCAAGUCCCUCCGCCAGCUCCA
rnacentral:tRNA from 1 species